rnacentral:rRNA from 1 species
UACGUAGGCAGCAAGCGUUGUUCGGAAUUACUGGGCGUAAAGAGUGUGUAGGCGGUGCUCUAAGUUUGGUGUGAAAUCUCCCGGCUCAACUGGGAGGGUGCGCCGAAAACUGGAAUGCUUGAACAUGGGAGAGGAAAGCGGAAUUCCUGGUGUAGCGGUGAAAUGGCGUAGAUAUCAGGAGGAACACCUGCGGUGUAGACGGCUUUCUGGACCAUUGUUGACGCUGAGACACGAAAGCGUGGGUAGCAAACAGG